GAUGAACGCUGACAGAAUGCUUAACACAUGCAAGUCGACUUGAACUUCGGUUUGGGUGGCGGACGGGUGAGUAACGCGUAAAGAACUUGCCUCACAGCUAGGGACAACAUUUGGAAACGAAUGCUAAUACCUGAUAUUAUGAUUUUAGGGCAUCCUAGAAUUAUGAAAGCUAUAUGCGCUGUGAGAGAGCUUUGCGUCCCAUUAGCUAGUUGGAGAGGUAACGGCUCACCAAGGCGAUGAUGGGUAGCCGGCCUGAGAGGGUGAACGGCCACAAGGGGACUGAGACACGGCCCUUACUCCUACGGGAGGCAGCAGUGGGGAAUAUUGGACAAUGGACCAAGAGUCUGAUCCAGCAAUUCUGUGUGCACGAUGAAGUUUUUCGGAAUGUAAAGUGCUUUCAGUUGGGAAGAAAAAAAUGACGGUACCAACAGAAGAAGUGACGGCUAAAUACGUG
rnacentral:rRNA from 1 species